AUUGAACGCUGGCGGCGGGCCUAACACAUGCAAGUCGAGCGGAUGAAGGGAGCUUGCUCCUGGAUUCAGCGGCGGACGGGUGAGUAAUGCCUAGGAAUCUGCCUGGUAGUGGGGGAUAACGUCCGGAAACGGGCGCUAAUACCGCAUACGUCCUGAGGGAGAAAGUGGGGGAUCUUCGGACCUCACGCUAUCAGAUGAGCCUAGGUCGGAUUAGCUAGUUGGUGGGGUAAAGGCCUACCAAGGCGACGAUCCGUAACUGGUCUGAGAGGAAGAUCAGUCACACUGGAACUGAGACACGGUCCAGACUCCUACGGGAGGCAGCAGUGGGGAAUAUUGGACAAUGGGCGAAAGCCUGAUCCAGCCAUGCCGCGUGUGUGAAGAAGGUCUUCGGAUUGUAAAGCACUUUAAGUUGGGAGGAAGGGCAGUAAGUUAAUACCUUGCUGUUUUGACGUUACCAACAGAAUAAGCACCGGCUAACUUCGUG
rnacentral:rRNA from 1 species